GGGCAAACAAGAAGUAUCUAAUUUUGUGCCGAGAAGAGUCAUCAAGAGGCAAUCUGGCUGUAUGGUUUAGUCUUAGAUUAAUAUGACUCAAAAUCAAAAAGCUGAGCUGUCUCUUCUACAGCAUGUACCACCCCACUCCACUACACCUUUCUGCUCACCCAAAAAUGGAGAGAUAAGUACAUAUUAAUAGCUGAAGACCUGAAACAGCCUUCCUCAAUUUGGCAUCCCCUCAGAAGUGUUGAAACCACACAAGCCUAUACAGUCACACUUGCUGAGAAUUUUAGCCCCUACACAUCUAAAGAAUAAGAGUGAGGAAGACUAAUCCAAAGGAAAACAUAGAUAGUAUACUAUCACCAAGACACGAUCCAAAGUAUCCAAGUGAUAGCUAAACAGACAGCUACACAGACUCAGUUCAUUAUGGCAAACAAUCUAGCCCAAGUUGGGAGACUAUGGCAGGGAGUCUGAGGUCUAGUUUGGCAGAAAACCCCAAGUUCCCAAAUAUGGAGCCCCACUCCUCAUAUGCAACGUGUAAAGAAAUGGUAGCGGUGAUUCCUGUGCCUCAUCUGCCUUGUUGACCAAUGCAUACAGCCACAGGAAGCCUUGGAGGAACAAACAGGAACUCGUCAAAAUGUUACAGAAUUCACCAAAAGCUUACAGAACUUCUGUUCACUCACAGAAGGCUUCUCACUUCAUUCAUCUUCUUCGCCUGAUGGCUUGGUGGGAGAUUGAGGCAAGAAAAUAGGGACUAAACAUUCCUAUCCUGGGCCACAAGCCAAAAAGGUAGAAAUACAGGCUUCAGGUGUCUCAGGACUUAAUUUGAAUCAAUUGGAACUGAUCAGUAAGUGUGAAGGCAGAAUUUUUGAAGAAAUGGAAGUCAGGUGGAAUCCCGCACCAUGCAUUUUGAGAAAGGAUGCAUGGAGGGGAGAUAGAAAGCAUAUCUUUGUUUUAACUGCUCCGUUGUUCUUUUCCCUUAAGAGGGAAAGUCUGUAAGGUAAUUACCACCAGAUUCAAUUUCACAUAGUUGAGUGCUUGUGUAGAUCUAAAAUUGUGCUGGUUUUCCAAUCAUAUAUAUUAUUAUAAUUGGACUCAGUGUAACUAUUUUCUAGAUCUUGGCCUUCUAGACAAGGAGAACAGGUUGAAGACGGUAGGCACAGAGAGCACAAUUCUAUCUCUUAUCCACACCUGAGGAGUGCUUGAACAGUCAACAUAAGCACAGAAGAGUUGCCAGCAUACACCCAAGUGCAUCCUGGUGUUAGAGCUGCUUCCCCCUUUCCCAUGUAUUAAAAAGACAGUAAAUACUUAAACAUUGCCUAGAAUUCCUGGCAAAAAAACCCGAGAUGGCAAUGCUUUGAGCCUCAGGGCUUGAAGGGCAACCCUGGGAAGAAAAUGCAACACUCAACCUGGGUAGCCAAGACAAUUCUUCUUCUCCAUUCUCAAGUAA